ACACUGCCUCCCCUCUCCCACACCUGGCACGCAGUACCUGCUUGCUGCCAUCUGCCACACCACCAUGUGUUUGUUGGCUGAAGGAGAAGUGCUGUGGCUUACCUGGGAGAGGGAGCUCAGUGCUGGACACCCCUGGCUGGAUGCCAUCACUACUGGCAUUGGGAUGAAUUCCUACUUGUGCUGCUGGAGUGAGUGAUGGACUGACCAUCUCUGCAUAGGUCGUGGUACAUAAAUAAAGCACUCUGUCAGCCAGGCUGCAGGAAGCAAUGGGCAGCACUGCACAUGACAGGCUAGGACAGAUUUUCCUUCCUAUCCAUUAGCAAGUGUAGGGAAGGAAGCUGUCUCAACACUGCUCCUUGCACUGCGCUCCAGUUCAAUAACAACCAUCCAUCACUCUCCAUCCAUCCUGACCUCUCCUAAAGAGCCACUGGAAUCCUGUUAUUCACAUAGUCCUUCAUGUUAUUAUUUCCAGCCUGGUGUGGGUCCUUUUAACCCCUGGCCUUAUGGGCUUACCUUCAUCUCAGAGGAGUUUAUGGAAUAAGAUCCACACCCUUGCCCUUUUCAGCCCAGAGAAAGCUCCUUGUGACAUGACAGAAAUCCAAGAAAUCAACCACUCCAGAGCUUUCUCCAGCCAGAUUUUUUGGUGGAUGAGCAGUGCCUGGAUGCAUCUCCAGAGAUUAUGUGUUCAGAUGAUGCCAAUGGAGGGAUGAGGAUGGCAUGUGCCCUGGUAAGUCAUCUCUUGCUCUUUCUCUUAACUGGCUCACUGUGUUAGAUCUGUUUCCUUGUGGUCUUGCUAUGAAAGAAUCAAAAAUGUGUGGAAAUAUGUAAUGUCCUCCUUGCCCUUUUAGUGUCCCGAAAGCUGGCAAGCUCCAUACCUGGACCUAUGGCUGAACAGAUUCACUAACAGCUUUCUUUUGUAAUAUCUCAGCUUGGAGAAGUUAAUUAUCUCCAAAUAUUGAAAAGGGCAGAUGGAUUUUGUAGGAUUUACUUGGCUGUGUAAUUUUGGUGCCCCAGAGAUGCU
rnacentral:lncRNA from 1 species